GAUUGAAUGGCUCAGUGAGGCCUUCGGACUGGCUCAGGGAGGUCGGCAACGACCACCCAGAGCCGGAAAGUUCGUCAAACUUGGUCAUUUAGAGGAAGUAAAAGUCGUAACAAGGUUUCCGUA
rnacentral:rRNA from 1 species